rnacentral:rRNA from 1 species
GAUGAACGCUAGCGGCAGGCUUAAUACAUGCAAGUCGUGGGGCAGCAUGAGUAGCAAUACUUGAUGGCGACCGGCAAACGGGUGAGGAACACGUACACAACCUUCCUUCAAGCGGGGAAUAGCCCAGAGAAAUUUGGAUUAAUACCCCAUAAUAUAUUUGAUAAGGCAUCUUAUUAAUAUUAAAGCUUCGGCACUUGAUGAUGGGUGUGCGGCUGAUUAGAUAGUUGGCGGGUAACGGCCCACCAAGUCUACGAUCAGUAGCUGAUGUGAGAGCAUGAUCAGCCACACGGGCACUGAGACACGGGCCCGACUCCUACGGGAGGCAGCAGUAAGGAUAUUGGACAAUGGACGAAAGUCUGAUCCAGCCAUGCCGCGUGAAGGAUUAAGGUCCUCUGGAUUGUAAACUUCUUUUAUAUGGGACGAAAAAGGGCAUUCUUGUUCACUUGACGGUACCAUAUGAAUAAGCACCGGCUAACUCCGUGCCAG